rnacentral:rRNA from 1 species
GACGAACGCUGGCGGCGUGCUUAACACAUGCAAGUCGAACGGAAAGGCCUCUUUCGGGGGGUACUCGAGUGGCGAACGGGUGAGUAACACGUGAGUAACCUGCCCUUGACUUUGGGAUAACUUCAGGAAACUGGGGCUAAUACCGGAUAGGAGCUCCUGCUGCAUGGUGGGGGUUGGAAAGUUUCGGCGGUUGGGGAUGGACUCGCGGCUUAUCAGCUUGUUGGUGGGGUAGUGGCUUACCAAGGCUUUGACGGGUAGCCGGCCUGAGAGGGUGACCGGCCACAUUGGGACUGAGAUACGGCCCAGACUCCUACGGGAGGCAGCAGUGGGGAAUAUUGCACAAUGGGUGGAAGCCUGAUGCAGCAACGCCGUGUGCGGGGUGACGGCCUUCGGGUUGUAAACCGCUUUCGCUCAUGACGAAGCUUUGUGUGACGGUAGUGGGUAAAGAAGCACCGGCUAACUACGU